UUCAUAUUACUGAUAAAGUGUUAAAACUUAGAUGAGAUGUUGGUGUUUUAUGGCUCACGAAUUCGCAAUAACGGAUACGUAUAGCAGUUCGUGUUAAUGACAUUAAUCCAAACUUAUUGAUGACGUGAUAACAUGGGCGUCGAAUCCAAUAUUAAUCAUGCUGAUGUUUUCUCGACGGGGUAAUGUGUAUAAAUGCAGUUAUAAAAUUAAAAGGGACAAGAUAGUCGACGUGACCCUCAUGUUUCCAUGGCAAUCAGUCAAAGUUACAUGUUACGCUUAUGAUCGCACCUGCGGUCAUUCGCGCAGUAUCCAUGAUUUUAAGCGGCACGAAACACUAAAGUUAACUCCUUUGUACGAAAAUAUAAUGUCGUAGCCCUUCAAAUUAGAAAAGUGAGGAUGAUCUUGUCAAUGCUGAGAUUUUCAUGCAUCAGCAGCCACUACAUCUGGAUCAGAUUGAACAAGAAACAGACAGCAAGGGUUGUCAGAUCAGAAACAGAAUGACACAAAAACACAAGAAACUUCACAGGCAGAUCAACAUGCAAUUUGAAGACGUGUGAUAAAAUACAGAGAGGUGAAGUAGUGUGUCUUUCCAGAUCCCCAAAUCAUUCCCCCUUAAAAGAUGAGCCUGAAGAGGAGAUUUGGGAAGAUGCUGUUUCAUAAGUCGCUUUGCCAGAUCACCUGUGGUCGGGAUGUCUGCUAACAAGAUGCCUUGCUGGUCUGAGCGAGUUCAAAGUCUUACACAGACAGUCCAGAAGUUCUGAAGUCCAUCUUUGAUUUCAUUGGUAAG